rnacentral:sRNA from 1 species
GGUGUGUUUAACCUACUAACCAAACCAGGGCUCGGCCAGGACUCUACCGCCCGCCCGCCCGCCCGCCUGCCCGCCCUCGACGAGACGCCUGGCCCUUCUGUCGACUGACUAAUCCACUAACCUGGCCCGAGCAUGUCCUACUAACCCCGCAGCAGCCAAACCCUACUAACU